rnacentral:rRNA from 1 species
UACGUAGGGGCAAGCGUUAUCCGGAUUUACUGGGUGUAAAGGGAGCGUAGGUGGCAAAGUAAGUCAGAUGUGAAAGCCCGUGGCUUAACUGCGGGAUUGCAUCAGAAACUGCUUUGCUAGAGUGCAGGAGAGGUAAGUGGAAUUCCUAGUGUAGCGGUGAAAUGCGUAGAUAUUAGGAGGAACAUCAGUGGCGAAGGCGGCUUACUCGACUGUAACUGACACUGAGGCUCGAAAGCGUGGAGAGCAAACAGGAUUAGA